GACGGAGGAUGCAAGCGUUAUCCGGAAUGAUUGGGCGUAAAGCGUCCGCAGGUGGCAGUUCAAGUCUGCUGUCAAAGACCGGGGCUUAACUUCGGAAAGGCAGUGGAAACUGAACAGCUAGAGUAUGGUAGGGGCAGAGGGAAUUCCUGGUGUAGCGGUGAAAUGCGCAGAUAUCAGGAGGAACACCUAUUGCGAAGGCAGCUCGCUGGGACGUAACUGACGCUGAGACGCGAAAGCGUGGGGAGCAAACAGG
rnacentral:rRNA from 1 species